rfam:Arenibacter nanhaiticus strain CGMCC 1.8863 genome assembly, contig: Ga0066783_115
UCAUCCUUAUAUUUGACGCAAUGAAGAACAGAAUAUCAAAUACUUGGUGGUGGACUAACUUACGGCAAACAUCGUGAGCAAAGCAUCAUUGUAGUUAAACUAUAGAAAAAGGCUUGUC